rnacentral:rRNA from 1 species
GAUGAACGCUGGCGGCGUGCCUAAUACAUGCAAGUCGAGCGAGCAGACGAGGAGCUUGCUCCUCUGACGUUAGCGGCGGACGGGUGAGUAACACGUGGAUAACCUACCUAUAAGACUGGGAUAACUUCGGGAAACCGGAGCUAAUACCGGAUAAUAUAUUGAACCGCAUGGUUCAAUAGUGAAAGACGGUUUUGCUGUCACUUAUAGAUGGAUCCGCGCCGCAUUAGCUAGUUGGUAAGGUAACGGCUUACCAAGGCAACGAUGCGUAGCCGACCUGAGAGGGUGAUCGGCCACACUGGAACUGAGGCACGGUCCAGCCUCCUACGGGGAGCAGCAGUAGGGAAUCUUCCGCAAUGGGCGAAGGCCUGACGGAGCGACGCCGCGUGAGUGAUGAAGGUCUUCGGAUCGUAAAACUCUGUUAUUAGGUAAGAACAAAUGUGUAAGUAACUAUGCACGUCUUGACGGUACCUGAUCAGAAAGCCACGGCUAACUACGUG